CUGAACAUCAGAGUAAAACUUAAACCAAACUUGUGAAUGGAACAAAUGCAUUUAUGUUCUAUGCUCAGAACUCGUCCAGUAUGCCAAUCAUAAGUUCAAAGUCUAUAUUCUUGCCAGGACAAUUCAUAACUCUUCCAGCAGUGCCAAUCAUAAGUUCAAAAUCCAUGUUCUUUCCAUGAAAGAAAUAGGAUAUAACCGCUUGCCUUUCUAAAUUUUUCAAAUGCAGAGAAAAUAGGUAUUGUAGUAAUUAAAUUCAUAAACAGAUCACAAAGAGGCCAACAUUCUUAUUGAUCAAAAUUGAUAUGGUCUGCCAUUUAUAUUGAUCAAAAUAUCUCACUCAUGAUACACUAAGUGAACAACCAAAAUGCAACUUUACAUGAACUCAGGCAUUGCUACAUGUAACAUGGUGAAAAUUAACGUAAACAAAAUCCUAAUUAAUCAUGCCUUGUGUCUGUGACCUAUGUUCAGAACUCUAUGAGCAACUGUCUUUUUGAAAUAUUUCCUUCAAUUUAGUGAUAUAAAACAAUCUAAGUUAC
rnacentral:misc_RNA from 1 species